rnacentral:lncRNA from 1 species
UACAGAAGUAUCCCCAAACACAAUGGCCAGCAGCCCGGGUUGCAAUACCUUGGCAUGUGACUAAGUUAUAACUGGACUAGGCUGGGUCCUGAGCCAAAGAAGACCCUGAGGCAGGACCUGUUCACCAUCAGAGUGGGUCACAUUUCUAUUCCAGAGGCUUCACCCAUUCUUUGUUUUGUGCAGCUGGAAUCUUAGUAACUGUGGUGGGCAUUGAGCCUUGCCGUCCACAAGAGAAAGCUUGCUGCUCGAGAUGUGAGUCUUCAGAUGUUCCUGCCGCCAUAUCUGACAGCUGCUGCCAAGAUUCCCUGGUGGGAUGGACUCUUAUACCUCAACAACCAGAAGCCCAAGUAAACUCUUCUAUAAAUUGAAUGACUCAUGCUUAAAAAAAAAAACAAAAAACAAACUAUCUUUAUUUUGUGUGCAUUGGUGUUUUGCCUACAUAUAUGUCUGUGUGAGAGUGUCAGAUUCCUUGGAACUGUAGCUACAGAUAGUUGUGAGCCACCAUGUGGGUGCUGGGACUUGAACCCCAGUCCUCUAGAAGAGCAGCUGGUAGGUACUCUUAACCACUGGACCAUCCCUCUAGACCCUGAUCAUGGUGUUUUAACUACAGCAAAAGAAAAGUAAUUAGCACAAUCAGGUUAGCCAGAGGGCACACCUGUGACAGAUUUUUCCUAAGUGCAUUCAUCAGGGGGAGGCCCACCCUGGAUGGGGGCAGCACCCUUCCUUGGGUUUGGGUCUUAGAAAGAAUAAACACAGAGAGGGAGCUGAGCACAAGCCAGCAAGCACAAGCUAAGCAAGCACUGUCCAGUCUUCCUCUGCUUUGACUGAGGAUGUGACGUGUCUAGCUGCUUCAGGUUUCUGCCUCGAAUCCCCUGCAGUCAUAGACUAUAACCUGGAAUUGUGAGCCAAAAGAAAAACAAAAGAAAACAAAAUCCAUUUUCUCCCCAUAUGUUGCUUUUUGGUCAAAGCAUUUGAUCCCAGUAACAGAAAAGAAAUGAGGACAGGCAAGAAGAGGCCAUACCACAGAGCCAGGAGCAGGUUGUAGUGCCAAGUUGCAGAGGCCGGGGAGGAGCAUAGGUGCAGAGCAGCCGCUGUCAGAAUGUUCAGGGAAAAGGAGAAGAGAGGAUGUGUCAGGGAAGUGAGCUGGCUCAGUCCAUAACAGCAUGGUCUUGCUGUCUUUUACAGGGUCUGAAGUCUACCUUAGUGCAGUGGGAGCCACUAACUGUCCUAGUAUGAAGGAAGGAUAUUGAUGUUUUUUGGGCAUGUAAGUGUGUGUGUGUGUGUGUGUGUGUGUGUGUCCCCAUACUCUAGGGACUGAGCCUCCUCACCCAUGUACCACACAGCUUCAGUCCCAGUCCCAUAUUUUGUUUUCAAUCAAACUUUAUACAAAUGUUUCUCAAGAAAAUUAUAAGUUACUUCUUUUAUUUCUCAUUAAUAAUAUUUUGGGG